AUUGAACGCUGGCGGCAUGCUUUACACAUGCAAGUCGAACGGUAACAGCACUUCGGUGGCUGACGAGUGGCGAACGGGUGAGUAAUACAUCGGAACGUGCCUAGUAGUGGGGGAUAACUACUCGAAAGAGUAGCUAAUACCGCAUGAGAUCUAAGGAUGAAAGCAGGGGACCUUCGGGCCUUGCGCUACUAGAGCGGCUGAUGGCAGAUUAGGUAGUUGGUGGGAUAAAAGCUUACCAAGCCGACGAUCUGUAGCUGGUCUGAGAGGACGACCAGCCACACUGGGACUGAGACACGGCCCAGACUCCUACGGGAGGCAGCAGUGGGGAAUUUUGGACAAUGGGCGCAAGCCUGAUCCAGCAAUGCCGCGUGCAGGAUGAAGGCCUUCGGGUUGUAGACUGCUUUUGUACGGAAAGAAAAGCCCUCUUCUAAUACAGGAGGGUCAUGACGGUACCGUAAGAAUAAGCACCGGCUAACUACGUG
rnacentral:rRNA from 1 species